rnacentral:rRNA from 1 species
UGACCCGUCUUGAAACACGGACCAGGAGUUUAUCGUGUGCGCAAGUCAUUGGGUGUUGAAAACCCAGAGGCGCAAUGAAAGUGAAGGCAUCCCUCGCGGAGCCGACGUGCGAGCACGGGCACUGCGGUGUCCGAGUGCAGCAUGGCCCCAUCCUGACUGCUUGCAGUGGGGUGGAGGAAGAGCGUACGCGGUGAGACCCGAAAGAUGGUGAACUAUUCCUGAGCAGGAUGAAGCCAGAGGAAACUCUGGUGGAAGUCCGAAGCGAUUCUGACGUGCAAAUCGAUCGUCUGACUUGGGUAUAGGGGCGAAAGACUAAUCGAACCAUCUAGUAGCUGGUUCCUUCC